UUAUUUCCGGCACUGCCCUUCACUUGGAUCAGGUGUGAAACCCUCAGAUCUCAGAACAAGUUUUUUGAAUAAAGUUGUUGUCAGCCUGUGGAAAGCGGAAGGAAGUAAUCAAUGAUUCUAAAUCAGCGCAACUCGCCCAGACCCAUACCUUAUGGUGAAAAUGAUAUCGAUGUAUUGGACAGAACCUGUCUCACAUCAAGCGUCGAUUGCCUAUUUAAAUAUUGCAACGUACUGAAACAAUUCUUUUUUAAGAACAAUUUAACAAAUACCUUCCGGGACAGCAGUUUAAACGGCUGGAAAAUCAUUCCAAGUCGAAGCUCGCUAAACAGAUAUGAAACUUGGAAACAUUUUGAAGUGAGAGAUAGCUGACCAGGAGACUGGCCUGACCAGGGGACUGGCCUGCUCUUACUGUUGCCAUUGGAUGUAUUGGAAGGAUUUUGACGCUGACAAUCGAUCUGUUUGGCCAUAUCACAAAAGCACCUUCCACAGCUUGGGACUCAAACCCAAAGCUUCUGGCCCAGACAUAGAGAUACUACCUACUGAGCCACAAGACCCUGCUCCAUGAAGUAUUCAUAUAAAACUCAGCCAAAAUUUUAUGGGCAAAAAUACA